rnacentral:SRP_RNA from 1 species
UGGCAGGCUAACCGGGAAGUCAGUCCCUUCCUGUGAGCGCAAAUGGACUUUAGGCGCGGUGACUACAUCGGCGAGGGACAAGAUCCUCUAAUAUGAUGGCAAAGCUAUCGAUGAGUGAGGGCCCUACAGGGAUGGAGCCGUUAGAAACCCGGCCAGGUCCGGAAGGAAGCAACCGUAACUGAUGGUUUCAUCGCUUGUAGACACUCCUUCAUGAGAGAAUGUUGCCACCCUCUGUAGGGGUUAUUGCCUCGAACCGAUGGUGCCUGCCU